UGAGGAAUAUUGGUCAAUGGGCGAAAGCCUGAACCAGCCAUCCCGCGUGCAGGAAGACGGCCCUAUGGGUUGUAAACUGCUUUUCCAGGAGGAGAAACUCUCGUACGUGAUACGGGAUUGACGGUACCCUGGGAAUAAGCAUCGGCUAACUCCGUGCCAGCAGCCGCGGUAAUACGGAGGAUGCGAGCGUUAUCCGGAUUCAUUGGGUUUAAAGGGUGCGUAGGCGGACUAUUAAGUCAGUGGUGAAAUCCUGCAGCUUAACUGCAGAACUGCCAUUGAUACUGAUAGUCUUGAGUUUGGUUAAGGUAGGCGGAAUGUGUAAUGUAGCGGUGAAAUGCUUAGAUAUUACACAGAACACCGAUUGCGUAGGCAGCUUACUGAGCCGACACUGACGCUGAGGCACGAAAGCGUGGGGAUCGAACAGG
rnacentral:rRNA from 1 species